CCCCUGUCCUUCUGUCUUCCGCCUCGAUCCACGCAGCCUCCUUCCAGAGUGCCGCACGCGCCAGCAGCGAAACCUGCGCCAUACAAAAAAUCACGGCCAAGUAAAAAAAGCCGUAGGCCACAGGAAUCAAACCCCGGCCCUCGCCCGCGAGCGUCUUGACACCAGCCCCGAUAACCAUUAGAACAAAGAAUGUUUCAUGUCUGGGUACACCCGCGCCUCUAUUUAAUGAGGGCAAAACCAGAAGAUUACCCCCUAAUUAAUGACUCCUUGGUAAGCACAAUCAUGUCUUAAACGUCAUGUAUUUCUAGUAUGGAGGGAGUAUGCCUUUACCCACAGGUCAAUCAAUUUUGUUGUAAACAGUGUCCUUUACAGCUUAGGUUGAUGGCACACGGAAGGGACCCUAUAGUAUUAAUGAGAUCGAGCUAUGACAUUUAUGCAAUGCUACCAUCUUUAUCUGGCCCCAUAAUAAUUAGGUGAGCUUACAUCAAUAAGAUAUUGAGUGUGUGACCCAUGAUUUUUUCUUCCAAGACCAAUAGAGUUUAUGAAAUCUGUCAAUUAUCGGAGUUCUAGGAAAUGACGCAAGAUAAUAGUUUAAAAUUUAAAAAUGUUGCAUUUUGCUUCAUAUUUCAGGUUGACCGGUCGGUUACAUAGGGCCGGGAGCUAAUGUUCACAUUGGACAUAGUGGGUUUGUAACAUUUGUGAUUAGAUUAGAUUAGAUUAGAUUAGAUUAGAUUAGGUCAAGUCAGCUUUGCAUAAAGUUUGGAGAUAGGUUUGAUGUUGGUCAAGAUGUGGAGUUUUCCCAUAUAUAAAAGGAUCAAAAUACAUCCCAUCUCAUUAUGUAAUAAAUAGAUCCAAGUGCUCAGUUGCACAAAAUUGAUUUUAGGAGGUAACAACUUCGGUUUUC
rnacentral:lncRNA from 1 species